AACUAACGCUGGCGGCGUGCCUAAUACAUGCAAGUCGAACGAGGAAGUAUCUUCGGAUAUCGUACUAGUGGCGUACGGGUGAGUAACGCGUGGAUAAUCUUCCUCUAGGUGGGGAAUGACCAGUCGAAAGAUUGGCUAAUACCGCAUAAGACCACAGGAGCUUCGGCUCAAGGGGUUAAAGGCGUAAGCCGCCUGGAGAUGAGUCUGCGCCCGAUUAGCUAGUUGGUGAGGUAAUGGCUCACCAAGGCGACGAUCGGUAGCUGGUCUGAGAGGACGACCAGCCACACUGGGACUGAGACACGGCCCAGACUCCUACGGGAGGCAGCAGUAGGGAAUAUUGCACAAUAGAGGAAACUCUGAUGCAGCGACGCCGCGUGAGUGACGAAGGCCUUCGGGUUGUAAAGCUCUGUUCUCUGGGAAAAAGAAAGUGAUUGUACCAGAGAAGAAAGGACCGGCUAACUUCGUGCCAGCCGCCGCUGUAA
rnacentral:rRNA from 1 species